rnacentral:rRNA from 1 species
UCAGGCCUAACACAUGCAAGUCGAACUAGCUCUAGCGCAAGUUAGAGUGGGUGGCGGACGGGUGAGGAACACGUAAGAACCUACCUUUUGGGGGAGGAUAACUGCUGGAAACGGCAGCUAAUACUCCAUAUGCUGAGGAGCGAAAGGUCGAAAGACCGCCAAAAGAUGGGCUUGCGUCUGAUUAGCUAGUUGGUGAGGUAAAUGCUUACCAAGGCGACGAUCAGUAGCUGGUCUGAGAGGAUGAUCAGCCACACUGGGACUGAGACACGGCCCAGACUCCUACGGGAGGCAGCAGUGAGGAAUUUUCCGAAGGGGGCGAAAGCCUGACGGAGCAAUACCGCGGAAUUGAUAGGGCCUGUGGGUUGUAAACUUCUUUCUCAGAGACGAAAUUUGAC